rnacentral:rRNA from 1 species
CGAAGGGUGCAAGCGUUGUUCGGAUUUAUUGGGCGUAAAGCGCGCGUAGGCGGACCUGCAAGUCAGAUGUGAAAUCUCGGGGCUCAACCUCGAAACUGCGUCUGAAACUACAGGUCUAGAAUCUUGGAGGGGGAAGGGGAAUUUCUCAUGUAGGGGUAAAAUCCGUAGAUAUGAGAAGGAACACCAGAGGCGAAGGCGCCUUCCUGGACAAGUAUUGACGCUGAGGCGCGAAAGCGUGGGGAUCAAACAGGAUUAGAUACCCUGGUAGUCCACGCUGUAAACGAUGAAUACUAGAUAUUGCAGGACUUGACCCCAGCAGUGUCGUAGCUAACGCGUUAGGUAUUCCGCCUGGGAAGUACGGUCGCAAGACUA